rnacentral:lncRNA from 1 species
CGUGAGAGGGGAAAAGGUCAGAGGUCAACAGGCACACCCGCAGGCCCCAGAGAAAAAGCAGCAGUGGAGACCCUGCGAGGUGAGGGGGAAGAUGUACUCAGCCUCCCGGCCUCUGCCCUGUCACCUUCCCAUGAUGCCUCCCGGCCCCAGCCAGGCCAGCCCUGGGUGACUACCUGGGGUUUUGUUCUCGUUGGGGACAAUGCAGCGGACGAAGUGGGGCUGUGUGGCCCGCAGGUUGGUCAUCAGCUUGUUGAGGUUCUCCUGGCAGUGGGGAAGAGUGAGGGAAAGGCACAAAGGGGGCAGAGAACCAGAAUUGGAUGCCGCAGUGGUCAGGACCGAGACGGGAGCAGGGCCCUAAGUGCCCUGCACUUUUGCUCUUUCACUCUCAUUCUGGUGAUGGGAGACCCUUCGCUGUCUCCCAUCACCACCACCAAAGUCUUCACUUCCCUGCCAAAUCCCCGUCCCUCCCAGAGCCCCAGGGCUCCCACCCCUUCCCCACAAACCCUGCCCAGGCAGCGUAGGGACGGGAAGCAGCACAGACUUGCUGUGAUGUUCACGUGGAGAGGAGUUAAACAUCACUGCAAGUCUUAACAGCCGCCCGCCCAAGGCACAGGGGACAGGGCAGGGGGUGAAGGACGGGGCUGGAGGCUGCCAAGAGGGAGGGUCUGUCUCCCAGAUGGGGCCUUACCUUGUGCAGCUGGGACACCGUCUGGAACGAUGCUGCCUUCUUACGCUUCUCUUUCACCCCAGACUUGGGGGGCUCAGCUAAUAGAGACAAGGGGCCUGGUCACUCCAGGGAAUGUCGCUCUGUGGGCCCCUGUCAGAGUGGAGAUCUUGUCCCUCCAUACUCACUGGAGCAGGAGCCCGCAUAAUUCUCAUAGAGAGUCGCCAGGAGCCUAUUCUGUGACUUCUGGAAGAUGGGGACCACGGUCUCAUUCAGGGGAUCCUUGUUUUUCUCCAGCCAGCCCACAAUGCUGUAAGGCACCUGGAGAGACAAGUCAGGUGCUGAGCCCGGGUGGGAGACCUGGAGCAGGGCGGGAGGAGCCUGGCCGAGGGCUGGGGUUCCAGCAAGCACCUACCACGCCUGCGUAGUGGACCACCUCGAAGUGGGCCUGGUACUUGCGCUUCUUGUCAGGCCGAGGCUGCUGGAAAUUGGGUGACUUCCCCGCGUGGUUGUCGUAGAGCUUGGCCCGGAAGCUGGCGUCUGAGGCCUUGGGGAACAUGCAUUCCUCCUCCAGGAUGGACAGGAUGCCCAGUGGCUGGGAACAGAACGAGCUUGAAAAGCCACCAUCAAGCCAGUCCAUCCUGGAAGGACUGAACCCCUGGUUCCCCAGGCCACCUCCCUUCUGGGAGCCUUCCCAGAUCCCCAGCUUCAGCCAUCUCCCCGGAUGGUCAGACACCACACCCACUCCAAGAACCCAUCUCCUAACAGAGAAAAGUUUGUGGCUUGGCUCCAGUCCCCUCCUGCAAAAUCUGCAGCACUGAGGUGUCAUCUUCACUUCUAACAAUGGCAAACCCAAGCUGGCAUCUCUGUACCCACUCUCACCCCCGCCACAGCCAUGGCUGUCACACACAAACAUGGGAGUGGGAAGAUGAAUGUCUUCAGUGCUGACAUAAUAUUUAAAAAGCUGUCAAUCACCUAAACGCCCAGCUGUAGGGGACUGCAGAAAUGCAUCGUAUGAAACUCAUCCACUGCAUGAACUACUCUUGCCAUGAGCAGCAUUCAAAAUACAUUUUCAGAGAAAAAGUAGGAUAUGAAAUGAAAUCUGUGUCUAUAAAAGAAAAUGGAUAGGCCAGGCGCAGUGGCCCACGCCUGUAAUCCCAGCACUUUAGGAGGCCAAGGUGGGUAGAUCACUUGAGGUCAGGAGUUCGAGACCAGCCUGGCCAAAAUGGUGAAGCCAUGUCUCUAUUAAAAAUACAAAAAUU